rnacentral:RNase_P_RNA from 2 species
GGCAGGGAGAGCCUGGCCACCGCGGCGCGCCGGCAGGCGCGCACGCGAGGAAAGUCCCCCCACCGCCGGGCAGGUGACCGGGGAAACCCCGGGACGGGAGACCGUCGGCACUGGAACAGCAACGACACGUCCUGCUCGGACCUGUGAAGUGCGGGAGGCGGCGAAGCCGCCUCCUCGGCGCGAGCGGCACGGGGCGCAUCGCGCCCCGGAACGAGCGAGCGGGCAUCGCCCGCGAGCCAGUCCGCGAGCGCGCGAACCGAGCCGCGAGGCGAGGGAGACCCCACUGAGGAACGAAGAGCAGGGAUCGAUGGAACGGCGAAUCCUCACCGGUGCAAGUCCGCACCACGCGGCGCGAGCCGCACGGUAGCCCGGCAGGGAUGCGGACGCUCAGCCGAAUGCCGGGACGAACAGAAGGGGGCUUACUCCUCCCCAGCC